CUCCCAAUUUGCCUAGCACUGCCCAGGGGAGGUCAGUGGUUGAGCUCUUUGGAGAUGGGAGCUAAGAAUGAAACUACCUUGGCCACAGGCAGGGGCUCCAUUAGCCAGGGCCUGGAAAGUAUUCCAAUGGUUCUAAAGUAGUCUUUGGAAACCAGGUCUGGAAGAAUGCUCCUGCUCUGAUCUGAGGAGAAAUCUGACCUGGCCUGGGGACUUGAUGGAGGGGAAAGAAGGUGAGGCAGCCAAGGAAAGAAAACUGCUAAAGCUGCUUUUCAAAGAGAAGAGGCAAUAAUGCAUUUCUGGAAUAAGGAGGAGGGCUAGUGGAGAAGUUGGAUAAGGAACAACUUUCUUCAAAUGAGAUGGGGAAACUGAGGACUACAAAGGAGCAGGGACUUCCCCAGCAAUCCACAGGUAGUGUGGCAAAGUCAAAGUCCUAAAUUUGGAGCCAAUAAAUCAAUUAACCAACAAGCAUUGGGUAAGCACUUAUUAUGUGCCAGACAUGAGUCUAUAAAAGCAAAAGUAAAAAAAUAGUCCUUACCCUCAGGGAAUUAUAGUCUAGGCCAGUGAUGGCAAACCUUUUAAAGACUGAGUGCCCAAAA